GGCCGACCGUUCUGGGUGGCCACCAACGUCAUCCGCACGUUCGGCAUCGCCCGGAUCGCCCACACGUGCUCUACCUGAAUGAGGUGCCUGGUGUCCGAGGGCUGGCGUUCAUAGUCGGGGUGGCUGCUACUCUAUUCAUGGCGGGCAGCACCAUCAUGUACGCCUGCUGAGGCCUUAGGCGGCGUCACCUGCGCCCCCUCCCCUCUCCCGUCACCAGCGGCCGCACAGGUCGUGACCUCUGCCCUGAUCGCGGGUCAUCUGAUCCCUGGGCGAUGGAAAACACCCUCCGACAAGAGCGUCCUUUACACGAUAUAACACAAUGCAUGGCGGGCAUCUCGCUGAAACCCGUUUCAAUGCACUAGCGGUGGUGGUGCAGCUUAGCUGUACCCUAAACAGGCUGGCCAACCCCGUCACGUAUGUAAACAUGGCUCAGCGUGUCACUAAAACGGACCAUCUCAGGGUGCUGUAUGCAAUAUAUCCGCCUUGUCUGCU